rnacentral:pre_miRNA from 1 species
UAUAUACUCCCUCUGUCCCAAAAUUCUUGUCUUAGAUUUGUCUAGAUACGGAUAUAUCUAAUACUAAAACGUGACUUGAUACAUCCGUAUCUAGACAAAUCUAAGACAAGAAUUUUGGGACGGAGGGAGUAGGUG